UGCGCAGGUGGACUUUUAAGUCAGUGGUGAAAUCCCGAGGCUCAACCUCGGAACUGCCAUUGAUACUGGAAGUCUUGAAUUUGGUUGAAGUGGGCGGAAUGUAGCAUGUAGCGGUGAAAUGCUUAGAUAUGCUACAGAACACCGAUCGCGAAGGCAGCUCACUAAGCCAAUAUUGACGCUCAGGCACGAAAGCGUGGGGAGCAAACAGGAUUAGAUACCCUGGUAGUCC
rnacentral:rRNA from 1 species